rnacentral:rRNA from 1 species
AACGAACGCUGGCGGCAGGCCUAACACAUGCAAGUCGAACGCUGCAGCAAUGCAGAGUGGCAGACGGGUGAGUAACGCGUGGGAACCUUCCCAAUGGUACGGAAUAGCUCAGGGAAACUUGAGGUAAUACCGUAUACGCCCCAAGGGGGAAAGAUUUAUCGCCAUUGGAUGGGCCCGCGUCGGAUUAGCUAGUUGGUGAGGUAAUGGCUCACCAAGGCGACGAUCCGUAGCUGGUCUGAGAGGAUGAUCAGCCACACUGGGACUGAGACACGGCCCAGACUCCUACGGGAGGCAGCAGUGGGGAAUAUUGGACAAUGGGCGCAAGCCUGAUCCAGCCAUGCCGCGUGAGUGACGAAGGCCUUAGGGUUGUAAAGCUCUUUUGGCGGGGACGAUAAUGACGGUACCCGCAGAAUAAGCUCCGGCUAACUUCGUGCCAGCCGCCGCCGUAACAC